rnacentral:rRNA from 1 species
GAUGAACGCUGGCGGCGUGCCUAAUACAUGCAAGUCGAGCGAACGGACGAGACGCUUGCUUCUCUGAUGUUAGCGGCGGACGGGUGAGUAACACGUGGAUAACCUACCUAUAAGACUGGGAUAACUUCGGGAAACCGUAGCUAAUACCGGAUAAUAUUUUGAACCGCAUGGUUCAAAAGUGAAAGACGGCCUUGCUGUCACUUCUAGAUGGAUCCGCGCUGCAUUAGCUAGUUGGUAAGGUAACGGCUUACCAAGGCAACGAUGCAUAGCCGACCUGAGAGGGUGAUCGGCCACACGGGAGCUGAGACACGGUCCAUACGCCUACGAGAGGCAGCAGUAGGGUAUCUGCCGCAAUGGGCGAAAGCCUGACGGAGCAACGCCGCGUGAGUGAUGAAGGUCUUCGGAUCGUAAAACUCUGUUAUUAGGGAAGAACAGAUGUGUAAGGAACUGUGCACAUCUUGACGGUACCUAAUCAGAAAGCCACGGCUAACUACGUG